AAGUCGUAACAAGGUUUCCGUAGGUGAACCUGCGGAAGGAUCAUUAUUGAAAUUAGUUGCUAUUCGCCCGGGUUGACCCAGCUGGGCCCGUAGUACACUGUCUCUUGGUGUCAGGUCUCUUAACGUCGCCCGGAGCCGGGUAGCAACCUUAUUCAACCACUUGUGAAUUUGUAAUUUAUAUCUUACCAACUGACUGUUAACGAAGACUGAUUCAAUAACUUGUUGGUGUUUAAAGACACUAAUACAAUCAUUGAAACAACUUUUGGCAACGGAUCUCUUGGCUCUC
rnacentral:misc_RNA from 1 species